UGCGUAGGCGGAUCUGAAAGUGUUUUGUUGAAAUACCCUCCGGCUUAACCGAAGGAAUUGCGGAACAAACUACAGGUCUUGAGGCAAGUAGGGGUGGUGUGGAACUCUUGGUGGAGCGGUGGAAUGCGUAGAUAUCAAGAGGAACGCCGAGGGUGAAGACAGCACACUGGACUUGUACUGACGCUGAGGCACGAAAGCGUGGGGAGCAAACA
rnacentral:rRNA from 1 species